rnacentral:misc_RNA from 1 species
GUAUUGUAUUGCGUUAGACGCGUCAUGCAUUCCAUGAAACUUCAUUACAGUGUGUGUGUAAAGACAUAGAACCGCAGCAAGAGGACGGGUGCCCCCCAGGCCACAGAACUACAGCGGGUGCACAGGUGUGAGUGGAUGUGUAAACAGAGUGUGCACAUGCCCCCGUUUGAGGACCAGCAACAACUCGUGUCGACAAUUCGGUAAUGAUCCUUCCGCAGGUUCACCUACGGAAA